UUCGCAAUGCCCGAAAGGGUGACGAAGCGACGCCGCGUGUGGGAAGAAGGCCUUCGGGUUGUAAACCACUGUCGGGAGUUAGGAAAUGUAAGGGUGCUAAUAGUAUCCUUACUUGACUAAGGCUCCGGAGGAAGCCACGGCUAACUCUGUGCCAGCAGCCGCGGUAAUACAGAGGCGGCAAGCGUUGUUCGGAAUUAUUGGGCGUAAAGAGCACGUAGGCGGCCUUGUAAGUCAGUUGUGAAAGCCUUCUGCUUAACGGAAGAACAGCAGCUGAUACUGCAAGGCUAGAGUGCGGAAGGGGAGAGUGGAACUUCUGGUGGAGCGGUGAAAUGCGUAGAUAUCAGAAGGGACACCGGCGGCGAAGGCGACUCUCUGGUCCGUAACUGACGCUGAGUGUGCGAAAGCUAGGGGAGCAAACGGGAUGAGAUACCCCGGUAGUCCUAGCCGUAAAC
rnacentral:rRNA from 1 species